GCACAGUGGCACAUACCCGGGACCCCCAGCUACUGGGGAGCUGAAGGGAGGAUCAGUUGAGCUCAAGAACUCUGAGUUGUAGUGAGCUGUGACGAUCAGGCAUCUGCACUAAGCUCAGCACCAAUAUGGUGACCUCCUGGGAGCAGACGACCACCUGUUGCCUGAGGAGAGGUGAACUGGCCCAGGUCAGACACAGACCUGGGCCACACUCCUAUGCUGAUUAGUAGUGGGCUUGCAACUGCCAAUGGCCAGUGGACUCCAGCCUGAGCAACACAGUGAGACUGUGUCUCUGUU
ensembl:misc_RNA Metazoa_SRP Metazoan signal recognition particle RNA